rnacentral:rRNA from 1 species
CGCGGUAAUUCCAGCUCCAAUAGCGUAUAUUAAAGUUGUUGCAGUUAAAAAGCUCGUAGUUGAAUUUCGGGAUUAGUACGUCGGUCGUGCCUUAGGUACGUACUGGUGUUACUGGUUCCUACCUUCUGACGAACCAUCAUGUCAUUAAUUUGGUGUGGUGGGGAAUCAGGACUGUUACUUUGAAAAAAUUAGAGUGUUUAAAGCAGGCUCGCGCUUGAAUACAUUAGCAUGGAAUAAUGAAAUAGGACGUUGAUCCUAUUUUGUUGGUUUCUAGGAUUGACGUAAUGAUUAAUAGGGAUAGUUGGGGGCAUUAGUAUUCAAUUGUCAGAGGUGAAAUUCUUGGAUUUAUUGAAGACUAACUACUGCGAAAGCAUUUGCCAAGGAUGUUUUC